UUAAUAAUUUUCCACUGGCUUUAGUCAAUCCUGUCUUCCUUCAGUGUCUGAGACGUGGUGAAGACAAUCAUCUUGCUAUCAUUGCAGAGGUGUUUUCAGUCUCUUAGAGACCUAACUAUCUAACCAAGGAACACCAAGGCUGCUGCAGUUCUCUCCAUGUCUGUGCUUGCCCCAUGAGCAGUUGAGAAUUAAUUCAAUUUUUCCAGUUGCCUUUUUAUUAGUUUAAUUAAUUUUCCUCCUCUUUCCAUCAUCAAACACACUUUCCCAGAUGACAGAGAGGUUCUGUGCUGGAGGAAGUGAUUUCUUCUCUGUCAAAAAAGUUUUUAAAUCAACAUUUUCUGAGUGCCGGGUGAUUUAGGGGUCCUCCAUAUUUCAAGUGUUGAUAUGGAAACAUUGUAAAGUGACAGAAAAUAUUGUGUACUUACCCUCUGCUCCCUGAUGCUACUUAUUUGAGGUGUCCUGAAUUGCCAUAGAAAAUCACCAAUCAUUUGUGGCCCAGAACUUAUCUCAGACAUUCAAAAAUCUUGUUCCCAAACUUCUGCUUCUUCCCCAGAUCAGAAGAUUGGCUGAAAGGUGCCAGCUAUGAAGUUUAAAACAAACAAACAAAUAGUUGGAUCUUUAAAACUGUUCCCUGUUCUCUGAGCUUUCAUGAUUCAUGUUUUCCAGUGAAAUCCCAUGGAAAUCUGAUUGUUCUUGGCUUUUGCAUAGAAAGAGCUCCUGCCUGCCUGCCUUCUUGCCUGUCUAACCUACAGCAUCUCCUGUGAUAACAAAUGUGACUGCAUUGUGCCCAGCUGCUGCUGCUGCUGUGCCCAGCCAUUCCGCAGGCUCCAUCAUCUCCUUGAUAUCCCAUUGGAAGGGACUGGGGGAGUAAAGGCCAUGCUUCAUGUGAGAGGUACGUAUCAUGUUACUUUUGUGCUCUCCUGCUUAGUAUUAUCCAUAUAUUUCUAUACUUUAGAUUUGCUACUUUUGUUCGAAGCUGAAGGUGUUAUCACAAUCUUCCUCUCUCCCUAGACCUGAGCACCCAAAGGUGCAGUGACUUUUUACCAAGUG
rnacentral:lncRNA from 1 species